rnacentral:rRNA from 1 species
UACAGAGGUCCCAAGCGUUGUUCGGAUUCAUUGGGCGUAAAGCGCGUGUAGGCGGCUGCCUAAGUCUAAUGUGAAAUCCCCGAGCUUAACUCCGGAACUGCAUCGGAUACUGGGCAGCUAGAGGAUGAGAGAGGAUGGUGGAAUUCCAGGUGUAGGGGUGAAAUCCGUAGAUAUCUGGAGGAACAUCGGUGGCGAAGGCGGCCAUCUGGCUCAUUUCUGACGCUGAGACGCGAAAGCGUGGGGAGCAAACAGG